GGCGACCAUAGCAAGAGUGAACCACCUGAUCCCUUCCCGAACUCAGAAGUGAAACCUCUUAGCGCUGAUGGUAGUGUGGGAUUACCCGUGUGAGAGUAAGUCAUCGCCAGCU
rnacentral:rRNA from 1 species